rnacentral:rRNA from 1 species
UACGAAGGGGGCUAGCGUUGCUCGGAAUCACUGGGCGUAAAGCGCACGUAGGCGGAUUGCUAAGUCAGGGGUGAAAUCCUGGAGCUCAACUCCAGAACUGCCUUUGAUACUGGCGAUCUCGAGUCCGGGAGAGGUGAGUGGAACUGCGAGUGUAGAGGUGAAAUUCGUAGAUAUUCGGAAGAACACCAGCGGCGAGGGCGGCUCACUGGCCCGGUACUGACGCUGAGGUGCGAAAGCGUGGGGAGCAAACAGG